rnacentral:rRNA from 3 species
ACUUGAAUAUUAGUAGUUAUGGUCUUUAAAUUCAAAGAAUUUGGCGGUAUUUUAGUCUUGUUAGAGGAACCUGUUCUGUAAAUGAUACAACACGAAAAAUCUUACUUACUCUUGUUUAACAAUUUGUAUACCGUCAUUAUUAGAUAACCUUUGUUGAGAAAGUUAUUGAAAUUUAGGAAGUUAGAGUAUAUUAGAUCAAGGUGCAGUUUAUGAGUAAGGAGAAAUGGGUUACAAUAAAAUUUAUUUACACGUAUUAGGAAUUGAAUAAUUUCUAUGAAGGAGAAUUUAAUUGUAACAUACAAUUCAAUAAGUUAAUGUGAUAUGAGAACUAAAAUAUGUACACAU